rnacentral:lncRNA from 1 species
CAUGAUAAUAUUUUUGUAGUAGAAUCAAGACCUUAACAAAGUCCUUACAUAUACGUAUAUAUAGUUCCAAAUACAUACAUCAGUGAGUCAAGAAGUGGUUAUAAAAUACAAAAUAUGAGGACUACUUCUUUCACUAUGCUACUGGAAUUCAUCAGAGUGCGGAAACAGAUAUACACUCAGACUUGUUGAUCCAUAGGAUCCUCAUAGACUUCCAAGGGUAGGUUUGCUUGUGGUUCCUCAUUUUCUUCCUCAUCUGGUUGGGGGAGGGGGGAAGGAAAUGGAAAGAGUGAAUUCUAUAUGCUCAGUAAGAAAAAUAAUAUUAAAUUAACAUCGUAAGAUUACAAAAGUUUAUUAUUUCAUCUUACCGAUUAGCUUCCCCAUUUACCUAACUCAUCAUUAGGAAAAAAAUCAUUUAUUUAAAUAUUAAAAUAGUACAUUAGCACAAAAAAUCAAAUAUACAUAUAUCAUGCUAAAUAAUAAAGAAAAUCAAAUAAAUUAUGAAAUACUCAGACUUUUCACGUCAUGCUUCGCGAAAUCGUUACAAACUUCCAUCUCUGAGAGCAAAUACAAAUACAGAUUUUCAAUUGCCCAAGUGGAAUAACUAGAUCAUAUACAGAUACGACAAUUUGUUCAGACCCACUUCCAGCUGGUCAAAUUAUAGUACGAUCUAUGACUACUGUCGUACCAACCAUAGUGAUCCUAACAUAUAAUCUAUAGUCACGAUAUUACUUAGCCACGGGUGACCCUUACAGAUAAUGUGAUGCCACUUUCGUUAGAGGGCACGCCGUCAUCUACUGGGAGCGGUUAUCUUAUGCCUUUCCAUACCAAAUAGGGGAGGGGUAAACAGAUACCAUGAAGAGCAAUGGGAACAGAUACCCGUCAGAGAAGCAUGAUAUUAUUUGACAAACACGUGAAAUAGACAUUGAAAUAUGUAUGCAUGGCAUUUAAACUAAUAUGAUAUGUUAGACCUUUCUCUUUGAGGGAUUAUAUUUCUCCCCCAGCUGGUCUGAAAAGAUGUAAGAUGACUGUUUUAUGUGGAUGACUGCGUACCAUCCGACAAGAAUGGUUACACGAUAUGAUUAUAGGGGUUACUAUGGCAACAUACGGCCGUGAUUAUAGUUUACAUAUAAGAUCACUGUGGUUGGUACGACUGCGGUCAAAGAAUGUGUCAUUGUUUGGCAAGUUUUAAAUGUGUUGUGGUUUACCAAGCCGUAAAUGUGCAAUAAAAUGAACCUUUUCAUUCUAUAGUGGUAGUCAAAAAUCCGUAUUACCCUCAGUAGAUAUAAAUCAGAAUAGCUUUGCGCGAAGAAUAGGUAAAAGAUGAAAAGAAGUCAUGACAUGAUUUGUUUGAUUUUCUCUAUUUAUACACGAUAUUAUUAUAACCAUGAUGUGAUGCUGACAUCUUUCUAAAUAAUAUAAAAAUUGUUUUCUUAGUAUUAAAUGAACUCAUGAUAUGACCAUUCGAGGUAAGCAAUUAACAGUUUGUUUUUAAUUUAAUGAGCCUCUAAAAUCUAAGUAAUGUUAUUUAAAUACUAUUUUUCUUACUAAAUUUAUAAAAUUCACCCUUGCCAUGCCCCCCCUAGAUGAGGACAAUAGUGAAUACCACUUGUUGACUUAACCAUUGAAGUUUUCGAGGAUCCCAUGGAUCCAUGAACCAUUAUGAUUACAUGUUUUGUACUGUACUCUGAUGAGUCCAUUUUUGGAGAGCCUUGUAUUUAUAUUUUAUUCUACCUCAGUAUUGUAAGAUUCGGAACUCAAACUUCAUUUUGUAAGGGAUUGUAAUAUAUAUACUCCGCUGCAUAUAGUUUAUCUUGAUGUACUUGUAAUAUGUUUCUAUAUCUGGCUCCCAUAUGCUAUAAUUAGAAUUUGGGAUGUCAAACUGAGUUCUAUAAAACUAAUCAAGGAAAAUAGUAUUUAAACUACACUACUAAAGUUUCAAAAGUUAUUAUUUUCAAAACAUGUCCUUACCUUCUCGAUUAGUGAAUUACAUCUGGGCUGGUCAAAUAACAUAUCCAUUAGAAAUACCAAAAAAAUUUACUAUUAAAUUAAAUCAUUUAAUUACUUGUCUCAAACAUAAAUAGUAAAAAUGGAACAAUGAGACAAAAUAUAACUAAUGGCAUAAUGGAAUAGAGAGAAAUACAACAAAAUUAGUUGAACCAACUAAACAUGGCAUGACAUGACAGAAUAGUGAGUAACAUAAUGGAAACUAGUUAAACCAACUAAAAGCAUGGCAUGUCUUGACAGAAUAAUGAGAAACAUAUUCAAUUUAAGGAGACUAUCAAAGUAUGGGAAAUCAAUCAAUAGUUAUAGCUAUAGCAUCAAUUGGUUAAUUCAUUUGCAGCUUUUACAGAUCUUCGCGUGAAACUAUUUUAACUUACAUCAGCAGAGGGUAGAAGGGAUCCCCCACUACCAUUAUGAAUGGGAAAUAGUUCAAUUUGAUAUACAAUAUAACAAUUGAGAACUAAUGACCCUGACCGUACUUCGACAUUGUGGCCCGUACAAUAACAGUUGAAGACUAAUGACCAUGGUUGUACUUUGCCAUUGUAGCCCUUACAAUCAAUCGCAAUUCCACUUUUGUUAGAGGAAACACCAGUACCAUUCACUGGGAGUGGUUCGCCAAUAGUCAAUAGCAAUCAUAAUCGGUAACUCUUCAAUGAUAAUGAUCAAAUAGAUUUUCAGUCUUUCCACUUUUCUUAUCAGUUUCAAAUCAUUAUCAAUUUACGGUCCAGACCUGAUGAAGGUCCACAAACAAAUCCCAAUAUGACAAGGGCCCAUAUAUCCCGAUUAGACAACUAGGCUACCCUAUCAAGCCAAAGCCCAAUUUGAGCAACCCUCUCAACCAUCACCCUUAGAGUGAGGUCGAGGGCCCAACCUGAAUACAUAGACUAUCGUAUAAAAUAAAUCCUUUCAUUUUCAAGACUCAAUAUACAAAUCAUAUCCAUACAUGAUAUGAAAAUGAAAUACUUUAAACACAUCAAACAUCAUGCAACAUACAAUCCUUAAACACACAUCAUUUCAUGCAAGAAAAUUAAAACAAACAAUCAAAUGUUUCGUUAUUCUUAAACGUUUCGAUAUCUAGAAAACAAAACAGAAGGGUACAUGUAAAUACAGAAAAAACUCUUACCAUCUUCCAAGAUUUUGGUUUCCAAAAUGAGGUUGUUUUUGUAUUGAAGGAGAAACAAGGUUGUUCGGCAACCCAUAGUUUUAGGAGAACCUAAGAACGAAUUCUUAAAAGUCUUAGUGAAGAAACAAAAUCGAGAAAAAGAAUGUUUAUGUGAAGUUUUCUCGGUUUCCUUUGGUUUCAUCUCUUUCAUUUUAUCUCUCUCUAACUUUUUCUCUCUUCUUUCUCUCUCUAUUUUCUCUAUCUCUCUCUCUCUCUCUCUGUUUGAUGGUGGAAAAUGAAAAUGGGAAAGGAGAGGUGAAAGAGUGACUUAGAUAGGCAAAAAUGGGGGCUUACAUCCGCACCACGUGGUAGCCAGCAGCUGACGUCCUACAUGACAAGAGCAGCAAGCAGUGAUGUGACGUGCAAUGCGAUGU